CUGUCAAGGAUAUUCAAUAAAUUAACUCAUCUACUCAUUUAUUGUCUCAACAGAUACAACAAAAUUAUAUGAUCUAGGUGUGGGACAGCAAGAAGGCAAACUUCAACCUUCAUGUUUACCCUUGGGGUGGUAAGAAUCUCAGUUCUACAUGGUCAAUUCAUUUUGUUAGCUUUGUUACCUGACAUUCAAAUUGCCAUUGGUUCCACCAAGUGCAACAUUGCCCAGAUCCAGGAGCAUAUGAAAGUAGUACAAAAGAUGAAGAAGAAUGAGGACAUUCUGCCCAUAACAUGAGAGAGAAAUCCGGAUCAUAAGAGGGCCUUCCUUCACAAGGCUACCUCUUUGACCCUCAGCAAGCUAAGAAGACAGUGAAGCUCUCAACACCCAUAAUUCUAUGAGCUGCACCAUAAUUAUCCUAUCGAAAAAGUGGACAUAAGAGCAUAUCUGGUUUGAAAAUAUUAAUGUCAUUUUGUGUAUGUUUAAUGCAAGAACACUGUUCAGAUUGAGGAAUAAGUAACGAAGAGGAAAUGGACGCCUAUUUCCCUUAAACAGCCGAGAUGGUUCUUUAACAAGAAAUUACACAGAUGGAGAGAUUUCCUCUAUCUUUUCUAAAUUUCAUAAAUGCUCAAAUAAGUCACAAAAGUAGGUAUUUUUGUCUUUUUCUCUCUGUAAGGGGCUUUCUAAAUAGGGAAACUGAACUUACUAGAAAUGUGUUUAUCAAUACUUGGUUUUCACCAUGCUUAUCUGAUGUAUUAUUGCUCAUGUACACUCUUCCUUGUGCCAUUUUUUGUUCCUUGAAUCUUCUUAUGUAAUGUCAUUGAUCUAACAGUGUAAGAGUAAAAUGAGUAAUAAAGUAAUUCUAGGCUGAGUGCCAGGAUCUGGUAGUGAUUGAGAAUACAUACAUAGUUGGUUUCUGGAAUCUUGGCAGGGCAAAAUGAGCUGGUGUACCAUCACUAAAGAAGUGGA